rnacentral:rRNA from 1 species
UACGUAGGGUGCGAGCGUUAAUCGGAAUUACUGGGCGUAAAGCGUGCGCAGGCGGUUCGUACAGUCAGACGUGAAAUUCCCGGGCUCAACCUGGGGGCUGCGUUUGAUACGUACGGGCUUGAGUUCGGAAGAGGGUCGUGGAAUUCCCAGUGUAGAGGUGAAAUUCGUAGAUAUUGGGAAGAACACCGGUGGCGAAGGCGGCGACCUGGUCCGAUACUGACGCUGAGGCGCGAAAGCGUGGGGAGCAAACAGG